GUCAGGAUGGCCGAAUGGUCUAAGGUGCCAGACUCAAGUUCUGGGUCUCUGUAUAGAGACGUGGGUUCAACUCCCAUUUCUGACA
rnacentral:tRNA from 1 species